UACGAAGGGGGCUAGAGUUGCUCGGAAUUACUGGGCGUAAAGGGCGCGUAGGUGGCUUCGUCAGUCGGACGUGAAAUUCCUGGGCUCAACCUGGGGACUGCGUUCGAUACGGCGUAGCUAGAGGAUGGAAGAGGCUCGUUGAAUUCCCAGUGUAGAGGUGAAAUUCGUAGAUAUUGGGAAGAACAACGGUGGCGAAGGCGGCGAGCUGGUCCAUUACUGACACUGAGGCGCGACAGCGUGGGGAGCAAACAGG
rnacentral:rRNA from 1 species